UCUGACAGAGAAACAGAAAAUUCAGUCCUUCUAUUCCUUCAGUUAAGGUAUGAAACUCUAUAAUGCAGAUCUGUGAGACCCCUUCAGUUUACCAGAAAAUCUAGGGAAGCCUAAACUUGACAUUCCUAAGGUUAAGCGUUGACUGAGCUCUCAGCAGUAGGCCUCCCCUUCCUCAGAUGAAAGGACAAAUCAGAAGGUACCUAUUACAUGUCUGGGAGGAAAGAAACAAAGGCCCAUGACGCUGAUACCACUCCACUCACUUGGAUUUUAAUGGUGCUGAUGUACUCUUGUUCUCUUCCUCCUCAUCUUUCAGACUUCAGUAGGUCUAUGAAGUCUGGGCUCAGCCAGGAAAACAAUGUGUUGCUUAGUGGAAAAUGACCAGCGCAGACUGCUUGUGAAGCUUCACAGCCAAGAACUCUGUGCACCCUCCAGUUCUACAGGUGUGGAAAUGCUGUGCAGAUGAGAUCUAUUUCUCUGACAGUUAACACACAAAGAUUUUGUUGCUGGGCACUGAACCCUUUCAUCAAACAGCAUAGAUGCCUGGACAGAGAAGAUUUCAAAGAACAAAUGCUUGUGUUUGGGAAUUUGGAUGAAUCUCAAGCUUGUGGUUCUGCAACAAGGGCAUAGGAAUAGCCAACCCAGAAAAGGCUGUGCUUAGUUUCACAACAGCAAACAACAAAAACUAGCCGAUGCAAGUGAUCAACGUGCAAUUUGGGAUAAAACUCCAACCAGCAGAGGAAAAAACAGGAAAGAUAUUCCCCUUGAAAGAGAUUGCUAGUGGUGUCUGAGAUUUCCAAAUUAAGUCUCUGGUGGUGAAGAUAUGAGAAAGGUGAAGUAAACAAAAUUUCAAAGUCCAUUAGAAGAAGAAAUGUAAUAGACAGGAGCACUAACAGACAUGCAUAAGUGCAUAACAUAUAUAUUUAUUGCAUCAGAUUCAAGUAUAUUAUCUAAUAUGGCACAGAAUACAGUACAUAAAAUGUAUGUAUUUUUAGCCUUAGCUUUUUCCUCUUACCUUCCAGAGUCAAUUGAUUUUCUGACCCUUAUCUCACACAAGGAGAUGAAAUGUUGCCUCUUGCCACUUGAUCUAAGCACUUACUGUCUUUCCGUUCCAGUGGAUGUGUCUACAUCACAACAGCUGG